rnacentral:rRNA from 1 species
GAUGAACGCUGGCGGCGUGCUUAACACAUGCAAGUCGAACGGUGAAGGCGGAGCUUGCUCUGCUGGAUCAGUGGUGAACGGGUGAGUAACACGUGAGCAAUCUGCCCCUGACUCUGGGAUAAGCGCUGGAAACGGCGUCUAAUACUGGAUACGAGCUGCGAAGGCAUCUUCAGCAGCUGGAAAGAAUUUCGGUCAGGGAUGAGCUCGCGGCCUAUCAGCUUGUUGGUGAGGUAAUGGCUCACCAAGGCGUCGACGGGUAGCCGGCCUGAGAGGGUGACCGGCCACACUGGGACUGAGACACGGCCCAGACUCCUACGGGAGGCAGCAGUGGGGAAUAUUGCACAAUGGGCGAAAGCCUGAUGCAGCAACGCCGCGUGAGGGACGACGGCCUUCGGGUUGUAAACCUCUUUUAGCAGGGAAGAAGCGAAAGUGACGGUACCUGCAGAAAAAGCGCCGGCUAACUACGUG